AACAUGUUUCCAUGCACAUCAAAACAAAGAGAGAAUAUGUUAGGUUCAGACUCUUCAAAGAAAAUGUUUCCAUACAGGCACACAAUAGAAAAUAUGGAAUCAAAACAUAGAACCAUAGAAAAUUUGGACAAACCACAACAAUAAGGAUUUAAUGGAUUUAGAAAAACAAAGCAGGAUAACAUAAAUUAGAACCGAUGGUCCAAAACUUUAGGGCAAAGGUUGAAAACACACAACAAUAAGAUAUAAUUAACACCACUAACUAAAACGAUUGAAACUAACAGCAAAAACAAAUGAGGAUUUAAUGGGUUUAGAAAAACAUGCAGAACAACAUAAAUUAGAACCUAAGGUCCACAACUUUAGGGCAAGGGUUGAAAAUGCACAACAAAGACAAGAAGACAUAAUUAACACCACUAACUAAAACGAUAGAAACUAGUAGCAAAAACAAAUUAGGAUUUAAUUGUAAUGACACCAAAAACCAAUUAGGGUGUACAAAAAUUACAGAAAUUAGGGCAAAUGCUCUUCCAUUGAAAUGCGUUAAAGAAACAGAAAGAGAGGGGCUCACUGGACUGGACACCAAAGAAGAUCAUAGUCAGUGUCAUGGAAAUUGCUGGUUGGUUCAAUGGAUCGCCAAAUGCCGGCUUGUUCAUUUUUUUUUGGGUGUGCCAUAUGGGUUUGAGGAAGAAGAAAAAUAGAAAAAGGCUUUAUUUACUUUUGUUGAUAGAUUCAGAUGAGAAAAAAAAUUGCAAAUUAGGCUCAAAUUUUUAUAUAACUUUAAUUUGAACCCUAAAUUUUUUGGGCCAUUUAAUUUAUGUGAAGUUAGAUUGAGCCCCAUUUUCGACUUACUAAUAUAAUACUAUAAGGGCUUAAAUAAUAUGGGACCCUAUUUUUACUUUCUUCAGGAUCAAACUUGGCAUCUCAUUCUCAAUGCCUAUAUUGUUUAUUUUUCUUCUUUAUUUUUGGGUUAAGUAAUUUUUUUCUAAUUACUAUAGUGAUUUUAAUUGAAAUUUAUGAGGUUCCUAUAAUACUUGUCUGAUUCAGUAACUAUAGCCAAACAGCUCGUGAUGGAACUUCUAAUUUCCCAUUGAUCAACAGAGGGGACUAUGUUGGACCUAAUCAUCAUGUGGCACCAUCUUCAGGGCCACCACAGCGCAAAACAGCCAAGAAGUCGCAUAAGUCAUACAGUGUUCAAGACGGAAACAACCUAGUGCGAGAAGUUGCGAUACAUGGACAAAAAUAUGUUUUACAGCACAUAGUAUAUUAUGUAUCUAUAGUCUAUAUAGGGUUAAUUAUAUUUAGAACCUCUGUAUUUGCACUAAAAUUUCAAUUUAGCCUUUUAUUUUCAAUUAUCCCAGUCAAUUUUUACAAUUUAAGUCAAGUUAAAAUGUCACUCUUUGCUGACAAAAAGUUGGCAGUUUUCAUUGUGGCCUUGGAAAUAUAUUUCAUGUGUGGCACACAUGCCAAUUAUGUUAGUUUCACUAAUACUAAAUGAACAGAAGAGUGAUAUUACAAAUUGAUCUAAGGCGCAAGGGUUGACUCUCGUAAUUGAAAGUAGAGAGAUCAAAAUGAAAUUUUAAUCAACAUGUAAGUUGUUAAGUAUAAUUAACCCUUAUAUAUACACUUGCAUAGAUGUAAAUCCCAACUUCUCACUUGAAAACCUCAAACUACAAUAAUUUGUGCUCCAACAACUUUGAAUGUCAAGUUAUUUAUUUAUUUAUUUAUUUCUUUUUCUUUUUUCAACCCACUAGGUAAUACUUACUAAUACAUACAUGGACAUUUGCAUUGAAUGCGAAGGUAGAAUUUGCAAUUUCAUUAACAACCCUUAUUUUAUAGCACAUUGAUUUUUUCAUUGCUAUCCCAAAUUCUGCAGAUGGAAAAGCAUCGCAAAAAGUUUUCCUCAACGAUCAGAAGAACAAUUGAAGGUCAAGUGUUGACUUGCAACCCUUCCAUACUACAUCAUAGAUUUACCCAAUAGAAAACUAUUUAGACCAUGUUUUUAUGUUAAUUUUUACUUUUUAUAUCAAUAAAUAUUGACCUUGUAAUAUAUACUUUAUUUCCAAUUUUUUUUUUUUUUUUAUUAAUAUAUAUCUAUUCGACUCCUGUAAGUUAUAACCCUGACUACAUUUGCACUGUGCUAGUAGAUUGUAUAGAUUGCAGUAAAUGCCGUUCCAUGUAUAUACUUUUUUUUUCUUUUUUUGUCACCAUGUAUAUCUAUUCAAUUGUUGCUUCUUAGUGUUUUUGCCCAUUGGGAGUUUGCAGCAAAAGUGGAAAGAUGUGAUGGAAAAAGCAGGCACUAAAAUGGACAAGAACAAGAAGAGGCUCCAUAUUUUUGCCGCUGUUGUCCACGUUAAUAUUAAAAAAACAUCCAAGUACAAGCAGAAAUUCCAAAAGUGGUUUGAGGAAAUGGAAAAAGAAGAUCGAGAAAUAAAGGCAUAUGCAGAAGCUUGGUUCCGUAAAGUUAAAAAUGCGCCAAGUUCACCUCUACAGAAUUAAACGAAGCAAGACUAUGUUUGGAUCAAGAAUUUGAAAUUAACAAAAAAUAGUGUCAUGUUGUAGUAUCUGAAGUUUUUUUUUUUUUUUUUAGAUGGGGGUUGUAGUACCUGAAGUUGAAUGCUUGUUGUGUGUUUAAGAAUCUUAAUGUAUCAAUAGUGUGGUUUAAUAUAUUAUGAGUGUGAUUUGAAAGUUCCAAGUGUGAAGUAGUGAUAGUGUUGUUUUGAUUUAGAUACUCUUUAUUAUAUGCAGUUGGAAUGAAGAUCUUUAUUUCAAAAUGUUUCAGAUUAUAACACAUCAUUCAAGAUCCAAAAUCAAAGUCCGUGAUUUUUAUGCCAAUUUUGAAUCUUAAAAGAUAUUUGUCAAUGCAAUUCUUCCACAAACAAACACUGAAUUAUGAAAUAAACAUCUCCAUCCAUCUAUGUAACGGAAAGGCAUAAGCAUUACAACAUUAACAUUGAAAAAGC